CUGGUUGAUCCUGCCGGAGGCUACUGCUAUUGGGAUUCGACCAAGCCAUGCGAGUCAAGGUGUCUUCGGACGCCGGCAUACGGCUCAGUAACACGUAGGUAACCUACCCUUAGGACUGGCAUAACCCCGGGAAACUGGGGCUAAUAUCAGAUAGAUAAAAGAUACUGGAAUGUUCUUUUAUCCAAAGCUUUUGUGCCUAAGGAUGGGCCUGCGUCCGAUUAGGUUGUUGGUGGGGUAAUGGCCCACCAAGCCUGCGAUCGGUACGGGCAGUGGGAGCUGUAGCCCGGAGUUGGGGACUGAGACAAGGCCCCAGGCCCUACGGGGCGCAGCAGGCGCGAAACCUCUGCAAUGCGGGAAACCGUGACAGGGGGAUCCCAAGUGCUCAUGCAUUGCAUGGGCUGUUCUUUGGUCUAAGUAACCAGAGGAGUAAGGGCUGGGCAAGACCGGUGCCAGCCGCCGCGGUAAUACCGGCAGCUCGAGUGGUAGCCGCGAUUAUUGGGCCUAAAGCGUUCGUAGCCGGAUAAGUAAGUCUUUGGUUAAAUCCUGCGACUUAACCGUGGGAAAUCUAGAGAUACUGCUUGUCUUGAGACCGGGAGAGGUUGGAGGUACUCCUAGGGUAGGGGUGAAAUCCUGUAAUCCUAGGGGGACCACCUGUGGCGAAGGCGUCCAACUGGAACGGGUCUGACGGUGAGGGACGAAACCUAGGGGAGCGAGCCGGAUUAGAUACCCGGGUAGUCCUGGGCGUAAAUGAUGCGAGUUAAGUGUGGGGGCAUCUACGAGAUGGCCCUGUGCUGUAGGGUAGCCGUUAAACUCGCCGCCUGGGGAGUACGGUCGCAAGGCUGAAACUUAAAGGAAUUGGCGGGGGAGCACCACAAGAUGUGGAGGCUGCGGUUCAAUUGGAUUCAACGCCGGACGGUUGAUCCUGCCAGAGGUUACUGCUAUCGAGGUUCGACU
rnacentral:rRNA from 1 species